rnacentral:tRNA from 3 species
GCACUCAUGGCGGAAUUGGCAGACGCGCAAGACUAAGGAUCUUGUGGAGCGAUCCAUGCAGGUUCAACUCCUGUUGAGUGCACCA